CGGUGUUUGGUCGUGUUUUGGCUUCCGGCAGAGGACACACAACAGGCAGGAGCAGAGGUGUCUGGCAGUUUGGUGAGCAGAUGGUUCAAGUGGUUUGAAAGAGUUGUGCCACAGACCAGAAACUCAUGUUUGGGUUUGUUAUCUAAUUCGCUUCGUGUGAUAUUCAAGUACAUUCUCUACUGCCGCUGAUUUUUAGAGGUUUCAAGAGCACGCAGAUUUCUCCACGGACACGGCUUUUCACGCUCUAGUGUAUCGGUAGUGUCGGGAAUGUAUGCGCGGGAAAUUUCGCCGCAAAGAUAAAGCAUGUAAAGCAUGUCAAUGGUUGAAAGAGGCUUCGGGUCAAGGCUGAAGAACCGCAGAUGCUUCAUUCGGACGACAUGGUGAAGAUUAACUUGUACUUGUGCAAUAAUAUUUAUUUAAAUAACAAGUGAUUCCAUUUCAUGUGUCGUAAAUCAUAGGCAGGGAGGGAGAAAAUACAUAAAAAGAUGAUAAGUGAAACGUUGAAAAUUGUGUAGUAACGGUCAAACUUGGAAUCAUUCUGGCGAACGAAAUGUGUUGAAUGCUUCAUUAAAGUGAUGUGAGUUGACCAAAAAUAGCACAAAUAGCAAUCCUGGAAGCAGUGAGAAGUAAUUGCAGGAAGAAAAAGUGCCAUAUUUACAUUUGAUGUUGGAAUCUAAUUAUUCUCUCCGCGUGGGUGCCAAAUGUUCUCAUUUGUGGAAAAGUAUAAAUAGUGUUGUUUGGAAAAGGCAGGAAGCGCAUGAAAAAGUAAGGUCGUUUUCGCGGGAUGGAUGGAAAUAGUGGCAGCUCUAUGGUUGCACUGUGGACGAUUCGACGGCCAAGUGUUGAAUGUUACGGUCAAGAGUAGCAGUGCAGCUUCAAAGGAUACAUUUCUAUCUCAUCAAACUGAAUAUUAAACCAUCAAACCACUCGAAGCUCUGAUGCACAUCUGCUAGCUUACGGAGUGAAUAAAUUGUCGUUAAUCAUGGAGCUGCUAGUAUCGCAAAAGUCCGACCAGGACUCGAAACAUCCCCCAGGCUCCCGCCGAUCCAGCAGUGGAAUCGAAAACCUAGCGGCUACUUUGGAUCUCGACGCCGAUACCGACAGUAUUAUUAGCGAUAUAACAAAAAUUCCACGUGCCCCCGGUGAUGGUGCCCAUGCGGACGACGUUGACCAAAAUGUUUGUCCAAAGCAUCUCGAAAGACGUGCACAAGAAAGACUUCCUGCGCUGGCCUUACAGCAGCAGCAGCAGCAGCAACAUCAAAAAACAACCACGAUAAGCAACGGAGAGCUGCGGCAAUCCGCGGCGAUAAGUGAGAUUAAUGGGAACGAUACUCGAGACAACAAACAAAAGCCGAAUGGUGUAACCACCCCGGUAUUGACAGACAAUGGCGGGGGAGAAAAUGGCGGUUUUUGUCCCCCACCUCCAGAUGGCGGAGGUGAUGACGAAGGUGGAGGGACUGGAAAUGGCGAAGAGGACGGUGGUGUUAAUGGGAACAAUCCAGCGCUGCCACCACUCAGCAGCAACACCUAUGCUGCCUUCAAACGUGGCAACGUGGUCAAGGGCAUCUUGUGUCCCUCGAUGACCAAUUCUUUCCGAGCACCGUCCCUCGAGCGAUCCUAUCUAACUUAUUCUCAUCGCCAGCGCCAGAAAUCGCUGAUCCUUGUGAACGUGGUGGAUUUGGCGCUCAAAAUUGUCUUGGCCUCCGUUUGGAUAGGCUUCAAUCAUCCCACGACAAUCAAAGCGAACGAGAUUACCUGGUCCGUGUGCUGCGUGAUAUCCAACUUCCUGAUCUGUGUGCUCGGGAGCUGGCGGCUGUUUGCCAACAACUAUCUCCACUGGGCCGCUGUGUGCACCUGGCUGCUACUGAAUCUGCAGGGUUUCAUCGGUGAGGGUCUUGGUUUCGCCGAGCGGGAGUACCUCAUAUGGUACGUUCUGUUCAUAAUUUUUGUGCCGUAUGCUAUGCUUCCGCUGCCACUCAAAUGGUGCAUGAUAGCCGGUUCGGUGUCCGCCGUCUGCCAUCUGAUCGUGACGACGAUCAACAAAUUCCUGCACGAAACGAAUACGACAUGCAUCAUACGCCAGAUGAUUGCCAACCUGUUGCUCUACCUGGCGAUUAACUUCGCCGGCAUGUACACCAAAUAUCUGACCGAUCGUGGUCAGCGGUUGGCUUUCAUCGAAACCCACAAAGCCAUGGAGCAUAAGCGCGAGUCGGAGAAGGAGUACCAGCGUACUCAACGUCUGCUCGAUUCCAUUCUACCGAUGUUCGUGAACAAUGAUAUCCGCAAGGAAAUGUACAAGUCCCCGGAACAGCAGGCCCAGGUUGACACCCAGUUCAAGAAGCUCUAUAUCUAUCACAUGGACAACGUGAGCAUCUUGUUCGCAGACAUUAAGGGGUUUACCGAGCUGGCGAGCAAAACAUCGGCCCAGCAGCUGGUCAAGAUACUGAACGAUCUGUUUGCACGCUUCGACAAGAUCGCCGAGGACAACCACUGCUUGAGGAUCAAGCUGCUAGGGGAUUGCUACUACUGUGUGUCGAUGUUCGACAGCCAGAGCUGGAAAAGUCGGCCGGAUCAUGCCGUUUGUAGCGUCGAGACCGGCCUGCACAUGAUCAAGGCCAUCAAGGAUGUGAGGGUGCAGACGAAUGUGGUUGACUUGGAUAUGCGAAUCGGAAUCCACAGCGGGUCCGUGAUGUGUGGAGUACUUGGCGAGAAGAAAUGGCAUUUCGAUGUAUGGUCCAACGAUGUGAUAAUAGCGAAUCAUAUGGAAUCAGGUGGAGUCCCAGGGAGAGUGCACAUCUCGGAAGCAACACUGAACUGUUUGAACGAUACAUAUGAAGUGGAGCCAGGGAAUGGCGCGAGCAGGGAUGGUCACCUGAAAAUGAUGAACAUUAAGACAUAUCUUAUCAAACGGACUGAACCGCUGCGACCACGAAAGAGACUGAUGAAUCGGAUGAGUACGCUUCAGUUUGAGAAAGAAGCCAUCAACAAGAUAAAUGAGACCAAAAUUAGGAAAGACUCUAAAACUCCGAGCAUCGCUUCCAGCGGAGCAAAUAACAACAAUAACAUAACGAAGCGUUGUUCGAAAGCUACAAUACAUGAAGAUGAGCCAACGACAGAUUGGACUCCGGAAAUACCGUUCAAAAAUCUGAACCACGUUGGAGUAACUACCGGUGAGAGCUUCCGAGACAAACAGAUCUGUGACCUCGAAGAUACGGUCGUAUCUUCGGAAGAGGUGGAUGAGAUCAUUGAUCAGAAUAUUCAAAUUAAUUCGAACAAGCAGAUGCGAAUGGAGUAUCUCUACACGUGGACAUUGAAAUUCAAGGAUUCCUCCCAAGAGGGAACAUUCUGUCAGCUGCGGGAAGAUAUGUUUCGCUCUAACAUGUUGUGUGUUUUUGUUGUUUGGAUAUUCAUCGUUCUGUGCCAGGUGAUGAUCAUUCCAAAGUGCACGGUGUUGAUUGUGUCACUUUCGAUCACAUCUCUUCUGUUAUCCAUCGGCUGCGUUUUAGUAAUGGCCGAAGAGUUUUCCUCAUUGCCUGCAUUCUUGCAGAAGAGCUCUUCCACGCUGGUUCACGAUCGAAAACGUCGGACGGUUUUCGUUUGCGUUACCAUUAUUCUCAUGUCUGCCGCAAGCUCAAUGGGACUAGUCAUGUGUGAUCUGAACGAAACCACUCCAAAUGCUACAACUUUGACUAAACAACCCACUGUAGCUUUCUUGUCCGAUGGAACUAGGCAAGAGAUUCAACUCAAUCUAACCGUAACGGCUACCAUAAACCAGAACGUGAUACUGAACUCGCACAAAGUGGUGAACCUGGAUCUGGAAAGCCUGCUGAACGAACAAAAUAGAACUUUGAAUGACUUGAGCGAACAGGAGCUAACAUUAUAUGGGCUAAGCAAUGUCCAGAUAAAACAGCCUGAAGCCUACAGGAUUUCGUCAAUGAAAGAUGGUAAUACAGAGAACACAUCGCUCGAGUAUGAACUAAAAAAGAAACCAAUCCAUGUGCUUCCAACCAAACCAGCACAGUUAGCAUCCAAUCCUGUUUGCGUCCAUCCCGAAUACGUAGUGUUCACCUGGGUGCUCUGUCUCAUCUCUCUAGCUACAGCCCUUAAACUAUAUUACCUCGUGAAAACUUUCAUGGCGAUCAACAUGGUCGCAUGCUACUCCAUCCUGAUCCUGCUCGUCUUCGAUGAAGCAUUCGAUACGUACGACUCGCAGUACAUGCAGGCUAGCGGCAUGCCACUGGCCGCUCAGAUGAUGAUUCUGUUGGUAGUCUUCCUCACCAUGGUAACAUACCACGCAAGGCUCGUCGAGGUCACCUCCCGGCUGGAUUUUAUCUGGAAGGAACAAGCCGAGAAAGAGUUGUCCAACAUGAAAUCCAACCGGCACCUGAACGACCUGCUGAUAAAGAACAUUCUGCCGGAUCACGUCGCUUCGUACUACCUGUCGGAGGAACGUGCCGACGAGCUGUACGCGCAGAUGCAUGAGCUAUGCGGUGUGAUGUUUGCCUCGAUUCCGAACUUUAAAGAUUUCUACUCGGAAGACAUCGAGAAUGGGAAGGCGUGCAUCAGAAUCUUGAACGAAAUCAUAUCCGACUUCGAUUCGUUGCUCGAAGAAUCACGGUUUGCAACGGUGGAGAAAAUCAAAACGGUAGGCGCAACGUACAUGGCGGCGUCCAAUUUGUGCUCCGGUAAAAAGACAAAAGUUGACGAAAAAGAUGAGGAAGCAGUAUGCGAUUUGGUAGAAUUUGCACUGGCCAUGCGGCAGAAACUUCAAGAGGUGAACAAGGAUGCAUUCAACACGUUCCAGCUGAGGGUUGGUAUCAGCAGUGGACCGCUGGUGAGUGGAGUUAUCGGUGCUAGGAAGCCGGUUUACGACAUUUGGGGAAAUACCGUAAAUGUGGCGUCCCGGAUGGAUUCGACGGGGGAAAACUGGAAAGUGCAGGUCCCGGAUUACACGGCAGCCUUGCUGCAGAGCAGAGGUUAUACUUGUGUGCAACGCGGCGAGGUGAAUGUUAAAGGGAAGGGGCUUAUGCUAACCUACUGGGUGCUGGGCAUGAAUGUGUCUGCUAGUCAAUUAACCUCUCCUGCGCUGAUGCCCGCAGGACAACCGCAGGCUCAAACGCCCUCCCUGCAAAGACAAACUUCGCAGCACAGUUCACUUGCGGCUGUUGUCUUCGGUAUGAUGCAAGCCUCCAAACGAAGCAAUCUAAACACAACCCGUGGCUGGAGCCGUGCUAAAAACCUGACCGUCCAUAGGAUGCGUUUGCUGUCACCCAACCGGCACGCCUUCUCCGAGAACCCGAUUCGGGCGACGGGGAAGCACAUUCAGCUCAGUACGAUUGAGUCAGAAAGUCCAGUCUAACAAUCCGAUCCGGCGGAACACAACCCGCGUGCGGGCCCGGGGUUACACCAUGAAAAAGUCAACUAUUCCCCACUCGCCAACGAUACAAUUCCCAAGCGGUACCCCCGCGGAUAACAAUGUGAUACCAUCCUUCCGUCAGCUGCACCAAAACGCCAAAGACGAUCCUCAGACUGGGUUGUAAAAUUGACUUGACUG